rnacentral:rRNA from 1 species
AGUGAACGCUGGCGGCAGGCCUAACACAUGCAAGUCGCACGGCAGCACAGUAAUUGCUUGCUCUUACCGGUGGCGAGUGGCGGACGGGUGAGGAAUACAUCGGCAUCUUCUUCUUCGUGGGGGAUAACGUAGGGAAACUUACGCCAAUACCCCAUACGUCCUACGGGAGAAAGCAGGGGAUCUUCGGACCUCGCGCGAUUGAAUGAGCCGAUGUCGGAUUAGUUAGUUGGCGGGGUAAAGGCCCACCAAGGCGACGAUCCGUAGCUGGUCUGAGAGGAUGAUCAGCCACCCUGGAACGGAGCCACGGUCCAGACUCCUACGGGAGGCAGCGGUGCGGUAUGUUGGACAAGGGGCGGGGGCCUAGUCCAACCCUGCCGCGUAGGGGAAGAGGGGCUUCGGGUUGUGGAGGCAUUUUGUUGGGAAAGAAAGGCAGCAGGUCAAUACGCCGCUGUUCUGACGGUACCGAAAGAAUAAGCACCGGCUAACUUCGUG